rnacentral:rRNA from 1 species
AUACGGAGGGCGCGAACGUUGCUCGGAAUCAUUGGGCGUAAAGCGCACGUAGGCGGCCUGAUAAGUCGGAUGUGAAAGCCCACGGCUCAACCGUGGAAGUGCAUUCGAAACUGUCAGGCUUGAGUAUGGGAGAGGGUUGCGGAAUUCCCGGUGUAGAGGUGAAAUUCGUAGAUAUCGGGAGGAACACCAGCGGCGAAGGCGGCAGCCUGGACCAAUACUGACGCUGAGGUGCGAAAGCGUGGGGAGCAAACAGGAUUAGAAACCCCAGUAGUCC